CAUACUUCGCCGCGUCGUGGUUCUCUGACACCAGAGCACCAGAGCCAAGAGGCAAUCCGGUGUGCUAAGCGGAAAGCCGGACCUGCCCCGCAACUGUAAGCGGCUAGCCGACGUCGACGACGCCACUGAAGUAUGGUCGGGAAGGCCGACUAACGCGACAGUCCGCAAGCCAGGAGACCUGCCUCGACAGUCUUGAACGU
rnacentral:ncRNA from 1 species